CACACACACACACACACACACACACACACACACACAGGUUAUCCUCCACGUACUGGAACACACACACACACAGGUUAUCCUCUACGUACUGGAACACACACACACACACAGGUUAUCCUCUACGUACUGGAACACACACAGGUUAUCCUCUACGUACUGGAACACACACACACAGGUUAUCCUCUACGUACUGGAACACACACACA